AUACGGAGGGUGCAAGCGUUGUUCGGAAUUACUGGGCGUAAAGGGCGCGUAGGCGGUCGGGUGUGUCUGGCGUGAAAGCCCCUGGCUCAACCAGGGAAUUGCGUCUUAAACUGCCCGACUCGAGUCCGGGAGAGGAGAGUGGAAUUCCCAGUGUAGCGGUGAAAUGCGUAGAUACUGGGAGGAACACCGGUGGCGAAGGCGGCUCUCUGGACCGGUACUGACGCUGAGGCGCGAAAGCUAGGGGAGCAAACAGGAUUAGAAACCCCGGUAGUCC
rnacentral:rRNA from 1 species